rnacentral:rRNA from 1 species
AGAGUUUGAUUAUGGCUCAGAUUGAACGCUGGCGGCGUGCCUAACACAUGCAAGUCGAGCGGUAACAGGUGUAGCAAUACAUGCUGACGAGCGGCGGACGGGUGAGUAACGCUUGGGAAUCUGCCUGAUAGUGGGGGACAACCCGGGGAAACUCGGGCUAAUACCGCAUACGCACUACGGUGGAAAGCCGGGGACCGCAAGGCCUGGCGCUAACAGAUGAGCCCAAGUCGGAUUAGCUAGUUGGUAGGGUAACGGCCUACCAAGGCGACGAUCCGUAACUGGUCUGAGAGGACGACCAGUCACACCGGAACUGAGACACGGUCCGGACUCCUACGGGAGGCAGCAGUGGGGAAUAUUGGACAAUGGGCGAAAGCCUGAUCCAGCGACGCCGCGUGGGUGAAGAAGGCCUGCGGGUUGUAAAGCCCUUUCGGUGGGGAAGAAAAGCCUCGGGCUAAUACCUCGGGGUCUUGACGUAACCCAUAGAAGAAGCACCAGCUAACUCUGUGCCAGCAGCCGCGGUAAUACAGAGGGUGCGAGCGUUAAUCGGAAUUACUGGGCGUAAAGCGCGCGUAGGCGGCUUUGCAAGUCGGGUGUGAAAUCCCCAGGCUUAACCUGGGAACUGCAUUCGAGACUGCAUUGCUAGAGUAUGGGAGAGGGAAGUGGAAUUUCCGGUGUAGCGGUGAAAUGCGUAGAUAUCGGAAGGAACAUCAGUGGCGAAAGCGACUUCCUGGACCAAUACUGACGCUCAUGUGCGAAAGCGUGGGGAGCAAACAGGAUUAGAUACCCUGGUAGUCCACGCCAUAAACGAUGGGAACUGGAUGUCGGGAGGGUCUGCCUCUCGGUGUCGUAGCUAACGCGUUAAGUUCUCCGCCUGGGGAGUACGGCCGCAAGGUUGAAACUCAAAUGAAUUGACGGGA